AACAGGGAUUAUUUUUUUCUGUCUCAUCCUGUGGUCAUCGCGUACCAAAAGCACCCUUAGAUAACCGAUCGUGUCCAGGUUUGAUCAUGUUUCCAGGUAAUCAAAGAUUGAGUGAUUGCGCUUCGUAUGGACUGAUUACUACGCGCCUAGAAGAGGCUUAUUAAUUUAUGAACAAGUGCAUGGAUCAUUGCUUGUUUCUGGUAUCGCGUGUGUAGAAAGUGUUGUUCAUUACUUUUUCAUAAUUGUUACAGUAGAUUUCACUCGCCAGAUUCAGACAGAGGCUUGACUCGAAAGUCUGGUUUCAGGCAUGAUUUUGGCGGUCUGAAACUUGUUGUGUUGAAGGUUAUAUAACACAUGGAGAGGUGGGAAGAAAUGACUGUUCAUUACAAAGGCUGCGAUAUUUCUAAGCAACAAAUCUAUCAUUUCCACACACACGAGAAUCGUCAAUCUAUGGUGUGGAAUUGCUGAAGGCUCUCAAAGAAGCCAUAACCGCAUACACCUGAAUCUGAAUGUUUUCUUCACUGUAGUAAUUUUUGGUAUUUCUGUCUAUUAGAUCGUCUCCAUUUUGUCACAACGGUCAUGUGUUCAUCAUCCAUAGUGUCCAGGUUUUCAAAUAAGAUAUGCAGCCUCUCCCGCCACGGGUUCAGCUCUGCAAGAUCUCCGAGGACUUGAAGGCCUACAAGGGCAACAACCCCAAAAAGCCUCUUCUUAUGGCCAUUAAGGGUCAAUCAAAACAGGCAAAAGCAUAAUUCAUAUGAAAUUGAUGAGAUUAUAGUUUUUCUUCCUCUGACUUGUGACACACUACUAAUACUUGUUGUAUUAGCUCAAGACAAUAGCACACACAAAAAAUGUGCAAUGAAAGUUUAAAAGAAAAUCUAGAAGGAAGAACACCAAGUGUAAGAGUUCAAGCUUCGAGUCUGAUUAGUGCAUCUCGCACUUCCAAUUCAGUCCGAGUUAGAAAAAGUCAGUCCUCCAGAAAGCCUCAGUGGUGGGUUGUGGCCAGCUCAACAUGCUGUCAAUCUUGCUAGUGCAUACAUCUUAAGCAUUUAUCAACCAUCUUUAAAAGAUGUCUGCUAAUACCACAAAUACAAGCACAGUCGCAAGCAACUCAAACUUAUCCCAAUUUACACUGCAAUCAGUUCUUGAUAAGGAAAAAACUGAUGAGACAAACUUCCUACGUGAAGAAUGUUAGAGGGAGCUACACCAUGACAAAUCUAUAGAGGAGGAUGGACGAAUGAAUUCAGGGAGGAAGUGAAGAAUGUUUUUUUUUCCGAAGGUGGUAUGGGAAAAAGGCUGACUGAAUGUAUAUGACUCUAAUUUAUGAGUUGAAGGAAUCAGCCCUUUAUUGGCCUAUUAAGCCAUUUAUUAACAUUUAUGUAUGGCCCUUCGCUUACUAAAUAAGCUAUACAUGUUAUAAAUUCUGUUUGAAACUUUGCUAAACUUAGUUUUAAAGAACCUGUGGGUAUUAAUUAAUGCAUCUCUGUAUG